rnacentral:lncRNA from 14 species
GGCGAGCCGGGCCCCCGGGGCCAGCCGGGCCACAGGGGCACGUGGGGGGAGGGUUUGCACCAGCUCCGCGAGGCGCUGAAGAUUUUAGCGGAGAGGGUUUUAAUCUUGGAAACAAUGAUCGGGCUCUACGGCCAGUAGCUUCCAAACCCUCCUGCGGCAGCAGGCCCGGCUGGAGGUCCUGGCUAGAAGGGUCACCUUGCUGGAAGCCAUCAUCUGGCCAGAGCCAGAGCCCGGCUCGGGCAGCGGCGCCCCCGGCACGGCGACCCCCGGGGUGCCCCGUGCCAAGCGUGGCGGCGGCCGGCCCCCGUACCGCAUCAUCAUCGCGCGCGCCCCGCCCCCCGGGCCGUGACAGGGCCACCCCGGCCACCCCCGGGGUCACCCCGCCGUGCCACCCUGGGGAGCAGGACGGGGACACCCCCGUCCCCCCUCUUGGUGCUACUGGUGGCACGGCACCGCCCCCCCCGCCACGCUUCACCCCCAUCGCCGCUGCCAGGGCCCCCCAGGGCCAGGGGUGUCCCCAACGCCAUCGCUGUCCCCUCCCCGCCAUGGGGCAGCUCUGGGGGAGGGGUUCAUCUCAUCCCAGCCUGGGGAGGGGAUUGGGGGGCUCAGUGGGGACCCCCAGGGUGGGGACCUCGCUGUGCCGCGCGCUUCGCUGCUUUGGGACACGCCAGGGCAUUAAAUGUCCCC